CGAGAAAUCAAGAUGGCCAUUAAAAAGAGUAUGAUGUAAACAAUGUUUAAGGGAAAUUUUCUCAGUAAAAUUUGACUUUUAUGUUGGAGUUGAAAUGUGGAUAAAAGAAUAUUCCAGAAGGAGUUGAACUCAAAUAAUAAGUCAAGGAUAAUCCAAGAAUGCAGAUUUUAUUCAUCCAAGAGCAACUUUUUCAGACAUAAACAUUUCUUGAGAAAUAAAGCUGAAAAGUCUAUCGAAGAAAAUGUAUCUUUCAGCAGAAUUAAACAAAGCCCGAACCAGUUAAAUCUUUUUUUAGACACAUCAAACGUAUGUUUAAGAUGAUUCAGAGAUCAUAGUCGAGAAAGAGUGGCCUACAUGAGGGUUAAAUCUUACCCCAACAAAAAAAAAAAAGAGUUCAACGAAGUGAGUAAAUUGAGCAAGGAUUCAUCAUGGAAGAGGAAGAAAAAUAUAUUAAAUAAAGAGACAAAAUGUACGCGAAUGCUUCUUAGAAAAUGACCUGUUCGACAUUUCUCUUUUUCUCAACUUAAUGCGAUUUGCGCUAACUUUAAAAGUUAAGCAGGUUAACCUGUCGUUGUAAACGGCUAAGCUGACGGAAUCUUUGGGUUACUUUUGGCACUGAGUCUGGCGCAAAAGACAUCAAGCUUUUUAUCAGAUUUAAAUACAAAAAUUCCAGGGAAAAAAGAAAUGGAAUAUUUACCAUCUCCAAUGAAAGAUGAAGUCAAUAUUUUUUUCUAAUUUAUUCUGAUAGACAAUCAAUAAUUAAUCUAUACUUGGUGGUAUUUUGAUCACACAAUUGGUCAUCAGUACACUUAAUAUUGGUUUUGAAAGAGAGUAUUAGAUGAAAGUAAGGAUUAAAUGAGUGGCAAUUCAUUAUAAGUAAACAAAGAAAAGUUUUUAAAAAUUUCAUAAAUCUUCAUAAGACUUAUUGAAUAAGUAUCGACAAUGUGUACGAAAAUACAUACCUAGCAGCCGGAUAAUCCAUGGUCAGGCGGUAUAGGGUCAACAGUAAUCUGGAUUUUACUUCUUAUUCCUUGCUUUCAUUUAAGCUGAUAGGGUUUUGAAGACUCUAACAGAGAAAAUAAAAAUAAUGAGCUAAGAUCCAAUGCUAUAGGGUGGUCUGUGGCUUGAAUGAGGCAUCAGGUCGUGGACUCAACAAGAUGUGGACUAGACUUUGUUGGAAUUAACAAAUUUUUACGUAUUUUCAACAAAAGAUGUGGCUGAUUUAAAUACCAUCGUGUUAAAUAGGUAAAGGGAUAAUAAUAAGUCGCCUUCUCUUUCAUCUUUAGCUUUUAGUAGAUCCUUCUUUGAAAUAGUGUUACAACACAUUCAUUAACUGCUACCAUGUAGCCUGGAUAAUAGACCUACAAAAAUGACUGGUGAUGUUCAAGUGAUAAAAAUAUUUAUUGGCUAAUUUUGAAGAGGAAAAAGGUGGUUAUAAACAUUGAUAUCCAGCAUGUAUUAUGCUUGAGUAUUAGAUCAUCCAGAAUAGCAUCAUUUCAUGAUAUAUAGAAAAUCUAACCUUUUAUAUCAACGUAAUUUGACGCCAAUUAUCGACACCCCCUAGGAGUGGAAGAUGAAACCCUAUGAAGGAGCUCAAGGCAAUAAAAAACAAUCAAAGUCUUGAUGAGUAAUUAUUUUUGAUAACUGCUGAUGUUGGAAACUAUCUAAACAAGAAUGAAAACACCUGAAAGCAGUUUACAAUAAAUAUCACCCCUUGCAACUAUAACUUUGCAUUCUGUCAGCUUGUUAAAAGUAACAACCUCUACGUCCGAACAGUGGAAAGUACUUGAAAUGUUUGAGGUAACUGCCGACAAAAAUGGACCCUUGGAUGCUUCUUCUCCAUUUUUCGAUAGCUUGCUUCACAUUAUGUUCCUGUACCAUCAUAUUUUGCAAGAUUCAAGAGCUACUGAGAGCAAGUAAGAUUCAGGUUUUGUGGCCACGUAGUCAGUAUGAACUUUAACUCCGUGAAAGCCAAAAUGAAAAGAGGACUAGAAGUAGAAAAUAACCAUCACUAUUCUGCUUACUUUACUGCGGUCAUUUAUGAGUCGAAAAAAUUUAUAAGCCCCAAUUGAUGUUCCGUUCAGUUACAACUGUUGUGUCAAAUGAAAGCUAACUUAAAUGUGUUGCCAAUAGUUUUAUUACGACUCUAAGGACAAGCAUGUAAUAAGCAAGGUUUUAAUUUCAUAUUCAGGUUUACUUUUCUGCGGAAAAAGAUGUGUUGGGAAAUGAAAAGUUAAUAACUUAUUUUACAAUGUAUCCCAUAUUAACAUCUGCUAUUGACUAAACAUAAAAAAUCAAGUGAAUUGAAAAAAUAAACCGCUCUACAGUUUCUCAUAAAAAUGUUUUUUAGAUAUUUUUAUGAUUAAGUUUGUAAAGCUUGUUUACUGCACUACCAUAACUGAAAGAUAAUUAAAAUUCUCAAUAAUAUCAUUAAUAUUCAGUGGCGGUGCUUAAACAAGUCGAUAAAAUGGGAGAUACAAUCACAGCAGAUGGUCCAGCAUCUGAUGGAUGAUUUAUACAAUAAUAAUAAUGGAAUGUAGCUGUUUUUGGAUAUUUAUAUCUAUUCAUACUUAUUAUCAAACAUUUACUUCAAUACAAUCAUGUUAAAAUAUAAUUAAUUGAUAAUUAAUUUUUGGAGCAAAGCUCUAAAGCAGGCUCAAGCCAGUUAUGAUGAUUACUCCAAUACACUAGGUCUUUCAUUGUGAUUCAGAGACAUUUGAAUUAGACAAAUCGAGAUAACCAAGUCUAAUAGAAUAAUUCAAUAUGGGUAAUUCUUAUUUUUCUUCAAUAUAUUUGAUCAUCAACAAAUUAUUCAAGUUAACCAUUUGUGAAGGGAAGUUAUGUCAAUUUACAAGCUGAGAGAUUGAAGGAAUUGAAUCGAAUGACUCGUCUCAUGAUCCAGCGGCUUUGUGUAUAUAAAUAUUACUAUUCUUCAUACGUUAAUGAAGCUUCCUCUAUAGCUACAUGAUAGCGUUAGUUUGAUUAUACUUUCAAUGAUGAUGAAUUAAAAGAGUCACGUCUUGAUCCUUUUGUUCAUCAAUGAACUCGUUGUUGUGAACUAAACGUCUAGUGUGGCCCAGAAUGGUGGUGACCACUUGUGCGUUUGCUUUGCUACACCAGAUUAAAUUUUAUUCGAUAGCAUCGACCUUAAUAUUCUUUCCUAUGUGUUGGAUAACGUGAGCGUCAGACCGCAUAAGCAUCACAACAACUUGAAUGGCUUAAACUCUCGACUGGUUGCUUCCUGAAUGUCAUCUCAAGUUACUCCUCAAGGUUUCUACGAUUAUUUCCACUAAACAGUGGCUAGUAAAAUAAUAUCCAAAUAUCGAAGAUACAAAUAAUUAAUUGUUUUAUGUGAAAAAGAUGUAGUUUUCAAUCCAGAACAAAAAAAAUACUUGAGAUUUUUUGCUUUGGAUACUAAUGAAAUUCGAUACACAGCUUACCACAUGGUAUAGAUAAUAUUUAAAAAGAAUCAUCUCUGCUUUACUUCUUAUUCAAUAGUUACACAAUGAACUACUUCAUGUUGAGUAAAAAAAUAUAAAGUUACUAUAAAAAUCUAAUCUGAUGAAUUCUUACAAACAUGUAUUUUUAUGCCGGUGCUACAAGUAUAUCAAGUGAAUGUUGAAUGAAUUUAAAUAUAAUUUCAAGUUUUGAUUGAAUAAAAAUCAGUAAAAGUCACACCUGGGCCACCUGGAAUUAGAACUCUCUGAGCAAGAGGUUGAAUUGUUGGUAUGAUCCAUAUUGCUAUGAUGGUGUAUAAACUUUGCAUUGACAAGUAUAAGUCAGGAAGGAAGUCAGGAAUGAUGGAUCUACUUCCAAUGGUCACAUCUCCAAGAUGAACUGGAGGAGGCGUGAAUGGUCAGAUAAUUGGAUAAAGAAUUUUUAAGUUUGUUCGUUGGUAUUCUAAACACCCGAAAAAGACAUGUCAAUAGACCGGUGGCCCUUGCAAAUAUCAUUGUGACCCCACUAAAAUGUCAGAGAGAGAAAAGAAAAUACAACAAUAAAAAAGAGACCGCUGGAUAGUGUGGCCAAUUCUUUUUAUGAAAGCGACUUUUACUCACGAAUAGAAAAUGAAUGGUUUUCAGGAUGAAGUCGUUACGUUUUCGUUUUAAUGGAAGUGUAACAGGAAAUCAUUUGGCACGACAUUGUUGGAGGAGUGAUACCCAUUCUAAGUUACAAAAAAUAAUGUUGGUACUUUCAUAAGGGCAUCAACUUUCAGCUCCUGGAGAAUACACUAUUUGUUCGUCACGCUGAGCUAUUCUCGGUCGCGUGACUUGCGGAAAUGGAUGUAGAGUGUGGUAAGAAACAUCAGAGACAACAGCUAGAGAAUAGAACAUUAUUGAAAGCACCAUUUUAUUAUUGAUUGACAAUACCCGGAUUAAUUCAUUUAUGUUUAAGUGCUUAAGAUGCAAGUACAUUCUUAUGAAAAUUCUUUUUUCUUCAAGACAAACCGUCAAAAAGUUGAGGACUUUAUCAAUCGAUAGUAUCUAAUAAUCAUUUGAAAUAUUCUAACAAUGGGUGUGAGAUUAAUACUUAGCUAUGUCAUCAAUAAUGAUAUGUAAACUAAGAAUUCUAUUAUUAUUUACGUUGAGGUAAGUGUACUGAUGUUAGAUAGCUUAUUGCUGGAAUCAUCGAAUGAAUGUAAAUUAUAUUGUGAGAUUGUUGGAAAUGUGUUGCAUGAUUUUUAAUAUUAUUGAAAGGUGUGUUUAAUAUUUUCAAUAGACAUCUUCAUAAAAGGCUGACGAUUAACAAUGCAUGGUGACAUUUGAUUUAGCAGUGAAUAGAUAUAAAUUCUAAGAGAUUAAGAGUAUUGAUAAUAAUUGAGUUUAAAUGUUUAAAAAGAAUUUUUUAAAUAUUUUAUAAUCAAUAAGUUGAUCAAUUAAUUUUAUUUUUCUCUAGAAUAAUUAGGAUCUUGCUCAUCUAUCCUGAUUCCACCUGAUUUUAUGAUGUAAAAAAGCAACAUAGAGUUUUAUGCUCCACAAAGUGAGAAGUGGUGAUGAAUGUUUUACUGGCCACUAACUUGAAGAGUAUACUGGGGAAUGAAAUAAAGCGGUUUCUUAAAUAAACACAUCAUUGCUAAUCAUACAUUUGUCUGAAUUUUACUGUUGAAGCACAAUUUUUUCUACAAACGAUUCAUUUAUUUUAAAAUGACCCUCAGACAUCGCCUAUACCAAUAAAAAAUAAACAUCUUUUUUCAAGCUCUGAUAAGAUUUUUUAUAAUUCAAGAAGUACUAUCGAAUGUUUCUGCAUUGGAUCAUCAGUCAUUCGUUGAAUUCUCGUUGAUUUUGUUUACAUUCACACGAAGUACAAACUUACAAUGAUGGUGUGUUCAAAGUAAGCCGCAAGAGAAUGUUUAGUUUUCAUCCCCUGAGAGUAAGUAUAAACUAUCAGCUUCAUCAAGAGUUUACACAAGAAGCACAAAAUCAUUAUUUAUAAUUGAUCUAUCCAAGUAAAUGAAUAUAUAUUAUUCAUCAAUUACUCCAAAAUUACCAAACUAUUUCAACAUGUCUAGAAGAUUUAUGAAAUAUUUAACAGCUUAAUAACUUAUUUAAAGAAAAAACGAUUCUCAUUAGAAACACUUGAAGAACAAAAAGAAAGAAGAGCUGGAGCGCAUCUUAUUCGGUUGAUUAGAGAGAGAGAAGUUUCCAGGAACGACUGCUACAUGGUGGUCUGGCUACCGUACAAUAAACAAACUCCUCUCGACUUUCCGACCUUUGAUGCUAUGGCGUUGAUUAAUCGCAACGUGAGAGACGAUUCACCGAAGUCUUAAGUGUAGACACGAGAGUUAAAAACAGCUCGUGAACUUGACUAGCGUAACAUGAAAUUUUUAUUCGAUCAUCUGUACUAAAUGAAGAGACUAAGGGGAAAAAAAGUGAAGAUACUAAAAUCACAAUUUCCCGGGAGUUACUGGCGUGGCCAAUGCCAUGAGCAUUCACCUGAGUGCAUAACGAGCACGAUGCCAUGUUCUCUUUUUUUUCUCCCCUAAAAAUUCCAUUUAGUCAAAAAAGAUCUCCAUGGUGUUAAACGUUGCCUUGGAAAAUCCGUGACUAAUACGAGUCAAAUCGAACGUGGGCCCGGAAGAUCCACCGCUGACUAAUGUUGGGUGAACCAGUCCAGGCGCGAUGGCACCACGCUGAGGCUCCGAGCGAGUUCUCGGCCAACCUAUCGCCUUUCCAAAUGGUUCUUGGGGACAGAGACACUCCAGGACUUGGACACGCGCCCUUCGUGGUGACCUUACGGCCAUUCUGUCUGAUUAUUGAGUCUUUGAGCAUUGUGAGAGCUCAGAACUUGUCCAAGAUGGACUAAGCACAGCGGGAUACAAAAAAGAACAAGAUCAGGAACCUUCUCUAGGUACUGAUGCCACAGACUUUGAACGUGUGCUGGGCAUGGGCUGCGCGAAUUCUUGGUCUACGGGUAUUGGACCCCUAAGGAGACAUUCAUAUACCCCGAAAUUACGUAUUAGUGUUUCAUACCUAUUAGAACCAUUUCCUGCUCAAUACGAAUGAAUUUUCCACACAAUCAAUGUCUUCAUGAUGCGUAAGACAAGUCAUAGAUUACUUUUUUCACGCUCUUGAAUUUUUUUUAGGGAUGGAUGGGGUUUCUAUACUAAUCAGAGAUUCGUGUGUAUUUUAAAUUUUUUUCUGUCGUUCCUAUUCAUUGAAAAAAAAAGGUUUAGUAUAUUCAACUAAAUUUUGUACGUUGUA